AAAUCCAUAAAUACUAUAGNCGGUGGCGGAGUAGUCAGAAAUACUAUAGGCGCCAAAUCUGCGGUGGCGGAGUAGACAGAUCUACCUGAAAUUCUAAAAAGUUUGGUGACUAUAAUGACCACUGCCAUUCACCAGUGUGCAUGAUACUAUAAAAGCCCAUUCACCAGUGUGCAUGAUACUAUAAAAGCCUUAGUGGCAGGAGUUUAAAUCUUUGUUAUUUAAUACCUUGUAAUUCUGUUGGUGGCAUAAAUUUAAUUCCUUGUAAAAUUUAAGAUAAGUUUUCUUAAUUUGUUAUUUAAUUCCUUGUUAUUCUGUUGGUGGCAUGAAUUCAAUUCCUUGUAAUUCUGUUGGUGGCAUAAAUAAUUCCUUGUACAAUUUAAGAUGACUUUUCUUAGUACAAGUUGUGUUGUGGAGCUGAGCAAGCAACCAGGUCUACAAAGCUCACAAACAUGGUGUGGAAGUGGAUUGCACGUUCCCCAAAAUGUAUUGGUAAGCCAUCAAGUUAGAUAUAUACAAAAGAGACAUAGUUUCAAACAUGCAACUUUUGUAGUCACAGAAGUUGAAAUGCAAAAGUGCUACUAAUGCUGUCGGUUUGAUAUUAAAACUACAUAUAAUAAAAAAUACUCUGCAAUGAAAAAAGUUCAAGAUGGAAAUCUUUUAAGCGUUGAUGAAGGCACACCUCGUGAUAUACUUGUAAGUGUACUUUUAAAUGCAUCAAAAACAACAAAUUAUUUUGUGUUAUACUUUCAAGAUUUGUACAAAACAGAAAACAAAGAGAUGAACAAGUGGCAGAAAAUGUUCUUUUUGAAUCAAUGUCAGAAUGCAAAAGCAUCUCCAAAUUUAAGACGUUUUCACCCAGAUGUUGUACGUUGGGCGAUUGAACUGUAUGCACGUUCACCUGCAGCCUAAACAGUCAAACUACGUCAGUAUAGGUACAAAACUAUAAAUAAGUGAGCAACCCUAUUGUAUAUAUAGAGAUUUAUUGAUUUAUAUACAUAUAAUUUAUAUGCAACUUUUUCGUUGAAGGAAUAUGGCUUCCAAUUCGCCCGUUAUAAAUACCCUUGCUCUACAUGAGAUGAAACAUCUUGAAGAAGCUGUUGAGGGUUAUGUAACUGUAGAUGAGAUGAAAGGUACAUCUUCUAUUGUCUGGAUUGUACAUUUUCAUGAUUAAUUAAUUUUUCUCCCAACCUGUUUUAGUUCAGGAAAGUUUGGUACUGAAGAAUGGAAAAUUAGUGGAGUUUAGAUUAUGCUGAUCGGAAAUGUGAGGAAAAACUUGCAACACAUAUCUAGGGAAUUACCAUAAAAGCUUGUAAAUUAUUAAAUAAUUUUUCUCCCAACCUGUUUUAGUUCAGGAAAGUUUGGUACUGAAGAAUGGAAAAUUAGUGGAUUUUAGAUUAUGCUGAUCGGAAAUGUGAAGAAAAACUUGCAACACAUAUCUAGGGAAUUACCAUAAAAACUUGUAAAUUAUUAAAAACACUCAUAUUUUACUUCUUGUUAACAGUGUUUUAUAUACGAUCCUUCAAAAAAGAAGUAUCGGUACCCAUCUUUUUGUGGCCCACUACUGUAACUCCUGCUUACCAACUAACAUCAAUGUUCUUGGAAAUAGUUUGUUUGAGAUGAACAACUUUCAUAUUAAUGCGGUUGUAGCAGGAGGUGCAUCCAUAAACAAUAAUAAGUGGUGGAACUUAUUCAAGGUAUCAACAAUUACACCUGUCCAAACCCUUGCCGACCAAGCCAUCUUCUUUAUAUGUUCAGAUACCAGUCAUCUACAUAAGACAACAAGAAAUGCUCUAUUCAGUUCAAAGCCUGGAGGAACACAAGCUGGAAAGGAUAUUCUGUGGAGUUAUAUUGUAACACUUCAUGAGCAAGAUCACAAAACUCCUUUACAUAAAACUAAACUGACUAAUGCACAUUUACCACCUAACUUCAUACAGUAAGAUGAAAGUCAUUUAUGCUCAAGAUGUUUUAAGCUGGACUGCUGGGCAAGCUGUAAAGCAGGAUGUUGUAGGUGCUGGUGGAACAUCAGAAUUUGUUCGGUUGUUUAAUAACUGGUUUGAAAUUGUAACUUGUGGGUCCGAUUGUCCUGAGUACAUGAGAGAUUGGAGGGUAAAUCUGAUUGAUAAUUCUCAAAUGAAUAUGUUGGUUCUUGAUUUCUACUAUCUAGAUUGAAAAAAUCUCCAAAGAAAAAGGCGUUAUUUGCAAUCAUAUAGUUUAUGUCGCGCUCAAUAUUUGUAAAAAAAGGUUUAAUUUUUUUGGUAACACAAUUUAUAUUUUUCCAUGGGAUAUUAUUUGUCCUUCAAGCUUUAUUGUAUUUUUGAAGGUUGUUAGAUUUUGUAGUGCUCUAUAUUUUGGUUUGUAGUUUUGAGAAAUUUAUGUCUUUGCCAGGGUGUAGAAGUUUUGGGAUGAUGAGUGUAUUGUAUGUUUUUCCCAAUUAGUGUUAGUUUCCUUUUUGUGUGUGUGUUAAUUACUGUUUCAGUUUCUUUGAUAGCUUUUUCCCAAUUUUUGUUUUGCACUUCCGGCUUGAAGCUAAAAGCAAUUCCAAGUAUUUUGACGUUUUCUUUUAUAUGAUUUUCCCACCUAAUUUUUCCAAAUAGAGUUGUCGGCUCGAAGAUAUUUGUCAGUAUUUGUGUUUUAUCUAGGUUUAUUAUUUGACCUGAAGCGUUUUGAUAGUCUUGUAGUAGUUCCCGUUGUAUUUCUGUUAUUGUAUUAUUUUUUUCUGUUAAAAUCGUGAGAUCGUCUGCAUAUUGUUCUAUUUUUGUUUUUACUUUGCCUAGUUUGUAUCCUUUAAUGUUUGGGUUAUUGUUUAUUUUCCUAGUUAACAUUUCAGUUCCUAUUAUAAAGAGGGUCAUACUAAGUGGACAACCUUGUCUUAUUCCUCGUUUUAUUUUUAUUUCUUCUGUAAAAGCUCCAUUUCUUUCUAUUUUACUAGUAAUGUCGCAAUAUAAUAUAUUAAUCCAAGUUUGCAGGGAUUUCGGGAUAUUAAGUUUUUUUAAUAGUUUUUUAACGAAACAGUGAUCUACUUUGUCGAAAAUUUGGUUAUGGCAGUGCUCA